rnacentral:rRNA from 1 species
UACGAAGGGGCUAGCGUUGUUCGGAAUCACUGGGCGUAAAGGGCGCGUAGGCGGCUUUGUAAGUCGGGGGUGAAAGCCUGUGGCUCAACCACAGAAUUGCCUUCGAUACUGCAUGGCUUGAGACCGGAAGAGGUAAGUGGAACGUGCGAGUGUAGAGGUGAAAUUCGAUAGAUAUUCGCAAGAACACCAGUGGCGAAGGCGGCUUACUGGUCCG